rnacentral:rRNA from 1 species
AACGCGAAGAACCUUACCCAGGCUUGACAUGCAGUGGAAGUUAGUAGAGAUACUAACGCCUUUCGGGGCCGCUGCACAGGUGCUGCAUGGCUGUCGUCAGCUCGUGCCGUGAGGUGUUGGGUUAAGUCCCGCAACGAGCGCAACCCUUAUCGUUAAUUGCCAACAGGUAAUGCUGGGAACUUUAGCGAGACUGCCUGGGUUAACCAGGAGGAAGGUGAGGAUGACGUCAAGUCCGCAUGGCCCUUAUGUCUGGGGCUACACACGUGCUACAAUGGUCGGUACAGAAGGCAGCGAAAUCGUGAGAUGAAGCAAAUCCCAAAAGCCGACCUCAGUUCAGAUUGUAGUCUGCAACUCGACUACAUGAAGACGGAAUUGCUAGUAAUGGCGAGUCAGCAACAUCGCCGUGAAUACGUUCCCGGGCCUUGUACACACCGUACGUC